AAGGAACAACAGUAGUGACAGCGGUAGCAAGUAGCAACAGUAGCAAGCGACAGUAGUAACAACAGUAGCAGCAGAGCAAGACAAGUAACAACAGCAGAGCAAAACAAGUAACAACAGCAGUGGGACGAACUCGUAGGCAAUGGGUCGGUGAUUCGUUUGGAUGAUAUUCAUCAUGCAACAGUUAUAACACGGAGAGAUAUGUGGC
rnacentral:lncRNA from 1 species